AGCCAACACACCAUUAGACAUGCUCUCUUUCUCUCUCUCUCUUUGUGUGUGGGAUAUUUCUGUUAUUCAUGAGUCAGGCGUUGUUAUCCAUGAUAGGUUCUGCUCAUGAUGUUUCUUAGCACUGAUUCAUGUUUUUAUUUCAUAUUUAAUGUCUAAACUAUUUCAGUAUGUGUGAGUAACUAUUUCCCUAGUAAGUGAGUGGUUUAGGAUUUAAGGCCACUAAGAUUUCUUUUUAAAGAACCAGGCAAACAAACUAAACAAAGGACAUGAAAGCAAGUGAUUCCAGAGAAGCCAAAACGUCAGCAGGUCCGGUUCUCGGGUUGAGGGAGGGUCCAACUACCUGAUCUGAGCCUGAUGGUCCCACGAGAGGAUCAUCGCACUGCAACAAGAAGCAUGACAUCACAGCCAUAUAGGAAUGUUUAGGGGCUGCAUGAUGGACAAAAAGCUCAGACAAAAGCUCAUUCUGUUUCCUCCAACUAGUCAUUCCUUUUUUUUGUACUCAAUAAGUGAUCAUUUGGAUUUGCAACAGCCUUAGUUUUAUCAGUAGAGGGUGAGAAAACUGGGUUCGGGAGGGGCAAGUGCGGUUUGAAGAGCUUGUGAAUGAUGAUGUCAUGCAUUUUGGGAGUAAUAAACUGUAAAUAUUUUUCCAGUUGAACGGCAGAGAGCCUUCUACAUCAUCUGGGUGCAAUUGCUCGGACGAGAAGUCCUCCAAUCCCUUUGCAUGAUAUCCUACCAAUGACAUCUGCGCAUGAGGUUGAAUGUCUCCGCAGGGAGAAAGAGAAAACAUAUGUGAAUGUUUUAUCUGAUGGCUCUUUGUUCUGCUUUAGUACUGCAGAAGCCACUGCAUGGGAGUCACUGAUCUCUGGCUCCCCCACGUGUUGAAUACAACAAAGUGAUCCUAAAGUAAAUCACAGUAUACCACCCGGUAAAUGUCCUCACUGCCAAACAAACAUUAAAGAUUUUUUGAUCUGUUAAUGUCGGCAUUACAAGAUCAAGUUUUCAAGUGGCAAUUCCUAUCCCUUAUUUUACAGUAUUUUUUUCAAGGACACACAACCAAAGGGCUAUCUGAUUGUUGUUUGUCACCACUAGGUGGCAGCAUAGUGUCAAAUCAAACAUAAAAAUUCCAACAUACUCUCUUUAACCUUCAGACAAAUUUGAUCUGCUCUCCCUGUGCAGAAAUUUGUGGGGCAGACAAGGCUUUUGGUGAAGGUGGAGGAGGGGGCUGUUGCAAACAGUUGGAUAUCAUAUGGAUUUGGGAAACCUCAGCAGUGGCAACCACAGCGACCACAUGCACUCACUCUGAGGCCAUAACAAAGCCUCUGGGAAACCUAAUUAGCAAGGUCAAAGCUAAAAAGUGGGAUUCCUGUUUGUCAGAUUUAAUUCGAAUAAAUCAUGUCAAUGAUGGGUGGGAGAGUACGUCACAUGUGCUCAGAGGCUUCCACGUUCUAUUUAUCUUAACCAUAAGGAGAAGGCACACUUUCAGAAACUGCUAAUAUUGCAAGUCAACGUUUGAACACACUUUGAGCAGGAAAUGUGAUUGAAAUGCGGAUUUUAUGCCAUGUCAAGCCACUAUAGGAAACAGAAAUAGUAAAGAUUCUUGGUUUAACAUAUUAUCAUCUUAUUUUAUCUCCAGAAUGAUAUAUUUACCUUUUCGGGCAUCAUGUGCUGUGUUAUACAUCUAUUUUUUGAGAACUUGGUAGACCCACUAGUACAUUUUAGAUAUGUUUAGAUACAGCAUGUACUGUACUGUUGAUUCCACCCUAAGGUGUGUUAUUAUCAUUUGGACACGCCACCUUGUAUAACAAAGUAGAGGGUGAAUGUAAUUUUGAAACAAGUUUUUACUGGAAAUACUAUUCAAACAUUGCAUUUGCAGAACUAUGACUAAUCAAAAUGAAUGUGUAAGAUAAAAGUUCUUUAACAUCCUA